UGUUAUAUGGCCGAACUGGUAAAGGCAUUGCCGAUCACAGGCAAGGUUUGCAGGUUCGAGUCCCGCUGGAACGG
rnacentral:tRNA from 1 species